rnacentral:rRNA from 1 species
AUUGAACGCUGGCGGCAUGCCUUACACAUGCAAGUCGAACGGCAACGCGGGGUCAACCCUGGCGACGAGUGGCGAACGGGUGAGUAGCGCAUCGGAACGUGCCCAGUAGUGGGGGAUAGCCCGGCGAAAGCCGUAUUAAUACCGCAUACGACCUACGGGUGAAAGCGGGGGACCGCAAGGCCUCGCGCUAUUGGAGCGGCCGAUGCCCGAUUAGCUAGUUGGUGAGGUAAAGGCUCACCAAGGCGACGAUCGGUAGCUGGUCUGAGAGGACGAGCAGCCACACUGGGACUGGGAGACGGCCCAGACUCCUAAGGGAGGCAGCAGUGGGGAAUUUUGGACAAUGGGGGAAACCCUGAUCCAGCCAUGCCGCGUGCGGGAAGAAGGCCUUCGGGUUGUAAACCGCUUUUGGCAGGAACGAAACGGCGCGCUAACACCGCGCGCUAAUGACGGUACCUGCAGAAUAAGCACCGGCUAACUACGUGCCAGCCGCCGCGGUAA